rnacentral:rRNA from 1 species
CCUACGGGCGGCAGUAGUGAGGAAUAUUGGUCAAUGGACGAGAGUCUGAACCAGCCAAGUAGCGUGAAGGAUGACUGCCCUAUGGGUUGUAAACUUCUUUUAUAUGGGAAUAAAAUGUUCCACGUGUGGGAUUUUGUAUGUACCAUAUGAAUAAGGAUCGGCUAACUCCGUGCCAGCAGCCGCGGUAAUACGGAGGAUCCGAGCGUUAUCCGGAUUUAUUGGGUUUAAAGGGAGCGUAGGUGGAUUGUUAAGUCAGUUGUGAAAGUUUGCGGCUCAACCGUAAAAUUGCAGUUGAAACUGGCAGUCUUGAGUACAGGAGAGGUGGGCGGAAUUCGUGGUGUAGCGGUGAAAUGCUUAGAUAUCACGAAGAACUCCGAUUGCGAAGGCAGUUCACUGGACUGCAACUGACACUGAGGCUCGAAAGUGUGGGUAUCAAACAGGAUUAGAUACCCUUGUAGUC